UGCAGUCGUACCAUGGAUACCCACGCUUGCUGGGGGAUUAGUGGCGAACGGGUGAGUAACACGUGAGUAACCUGCCCUUGACUCUGGGAUAAGCCUGGGAAACUGGGUCUAAUACCGGAUAUGACUCCUCAUCGCAUGGUGGGGGGUGGAAAGCUUUUGUGGUUUUGGAUGGACUCGCGGCCUAUCAGCUUGUUGGUGGGGUAAUGGCCUACCAAGGCGACGACGGGUAGCCGGCCUGAGAGGGUGACCGGCCACACUGGGACUGAGACACGGCCCAGACUCCUACGGGAGGCAGCAGUGGGGAAUAUUGCACAAUGGGCGCAAGCCUGAUGCAGCGACGCCGCGUGAGGGAUGACGGCCUUCGGGUUGUAAACCUCUUUCAGUAGGGAAGAAGCGUAAGUGACGGUACCUGCAGAAGAAGCGCCGGCUAACUACGUGCCAGCAGCCGCGGUAAUACGUAGGGCGCAAGCGUUAUCCGGAAUUAUUGGGCGUAAAGAGCUCGUAGGCGGUUUGUCGCGUCUGCUGUGAAAGACCGGGGCUCAACUCCGGUUCUGCAGUGGGUACGGGCAGACUAGAGUGCAGUAGGGGAGACUGGAAUUCCUGGUGUAGCGGUGAAAUGCGCAGAUAUCAGGAGGAACACCGAUGGCGAAGGCAGGUCUCUGGGCUGUAACUGACGCUGAGGAGCGAAAGCAUGGGGAGCGAACAGGAUUAGAUACCCUGGUAGUCCAUGCCGUAAACGUUGGGCACUAGGUGUGGGGGACAUUCCACGUUUUCCGCGCCGUAGCUAACGCAUUAAGUGCCCCGCCUGGGGAGUACGGCCGCAAGGCUAAAACUCAAAGGAAUUGACGGGGGCCCGCACAAGCGGCGGAGCAUGCGGAUUAAUUCGAUGCAACGCGAAGAACCUUACCAAGGCUUGACAUGAACCGGAAAGACCUGGAAACAGGUGCCCCGCUUGCGGUCGGUUUACAGGUGGUGCAUGGUUGUCGUCAGCUCGUGUCGUGAGAUGUUGGGUUAAGUCCCGCAACGAGCGCAACCCUCGUUCUAUGUUGCCAGCGGUUCGGCCGGGGACUCAUAGGAGACUGCCGGGGUCAACUCGGAGGAAGGUGGGGACGACGUCAAAUCAUCAUGCCCCUUAUGUCUUGGGCUUCACGCAUGCUACAAUGGCCGGUACAAAGGGUUGCGAUACUGUGAGGUGGAGCUAAUCCCAAAAAGCCGGUCUCAGUUCGGAUUGGGGUCUGCAACUCGACCCCAUGAAGUCGGAGUCGCUAGUAAUCGCAGAUCAGCAACGCUGCGGUGAAUACGUUCCCGGGCCUUGUACACACCGCCCGUCAAGUCACGAAAGUUGGUAACACCCGAAGCCGG
rnacentral:rRNA from 1 species